rnacentral:rRNA from 1 species
UACGUAGGUGGCAAGCGUUGUUCGGAAUUAUUGGGCGUAAAGGGCGCGUAGGCGGUUGGUUAAGUCAGCUGUGAAAGCCCGGGGCUCAACCCCGGAGGGUCGGCUGAUACUGAUUGACUAGAGUACGGAAGAGGUAGCUGGAAUUCCCGGUGUAGCGGUGAAAUGCGUAGAUACCGGGAGGAACACCUGAGGCGAAGGCGGGCUACUGGGCCGAUACUGACGCUGAUGCGCGAAAGCCAGGGGAGCGAACGGG